rnacentral:rRNA from 1 species
UACGAAGGGGGCUAGCGUUGUUCGGAAUUACUGGGCGUAAAGCGCGCGCAGGCGGCUAUCCAAGUCAGUGGUGAAAGCCCGGAGCUCAACUCCGGAACUGCCAUUGAAACUGUUUAGCUGGAGUAUGAGAGAGGUGAGUGGAAUUCCCAGUGUAGAGGUGAAAUUCGUAGAUAUUGGGAAGAACACCGGUGGCGAAGGCGGCUCACUGGCUCACUACUGACGCUCAUGCGCGACAGCGUGGGGAUCAAACAGG